rnacentral:misc_RNA from 1 species
AAUGUGUAUAAGAGACAGGUGAGUCAUCGAAUCUUUGAACGCACAUUGCGCCCGCUAGUAUUCUGGCGGGCAUGCCUGUUCGAGCGUCAUUUCAACCAUCAAGCCCCCGGCUUGCGUUGGAGCCCUGCGGCUGCCGCAGGCUCCCAAAUCCAGUGGCGGGCUCGUCGUCGUACCGAGUGCAGUAAACAUCCUCGCUCAGGGAACGCGUCGGGUUCUUGCCGUGAAACACCCCACAUAUCAAGGUUGACCUCGGAUCAGGUAGGAAUACCCGCUGAACUUAAGCAUAUCAAUAAGCGGAGG